GAUGAACGCUGGCGGCGUGCCUAAUACAUGCAAGUCGAGCGGACGGACGAUAAGCUUGCUUCUCUGCUGUUAGCGGCUGGCGGGUGAGUAACACGUAGAUCACCUUCUUCUAUUACUUGGAUCAUUACGUGAGACCGGUUACAAUACCAGAUCAUAUUUUGAACCGCAUGGUUCAACGGAUCUUGACGUCUUGCUCUAACUUAUAGAUGGAUCUGCGCUUCAUUAGCUAGUUGGUUAGGUAACGGCCGACCAAGGCAACGAUGCGUAGCCGAUCUGAGAGGAUGAUCGGCCACACUGGAACUGAGACACGGUCCAGACUCCUACGGGAGGCAGCAGUAGGGAAUAUUGGGCAAUGGGCGAAAGCCUGAUCCAGCAAUGCCGCGUGGGUGAAGAAGGCCUUCGGAUUGUAAAGCCCUGUUAUUGGGGAAGAAAAGCAGUAGGUGAAUACCCCGCUGUUCUGACGGUACCCAAAGAAUAAGCACCGGCUAACUUCGUG
rnacentral:rRNA from 1 species